AUUGAACGCUGGCGGCAGGCCUAACACAUGCAAGUCGGGCGAGUGGCGGACGUGUGAGUAAUGUAUGGGGAACUGCCCGAUGGCGGGGGAUAACUACUGGAAACGGUAGCUAAUACCGCAUACCAUCGGAUGACCCCAUAUGGGAUUAUCUAGUAGGUGAGGUAACGGCUUACCUAGUCGACGAUCCCUAGCUGGUCUGAGAGGAUGAUCAGCCACACUGGAACUGAGACACGGCCCAGACUCCUCCGGUAGUCAGUAGUGGGGAAUAUUGCACAAUGGGCGCAAUCCUGAUGCAGCCAUGCCGCGUGGGUUAAGAAGGCCUUCGGGUUGUAAAGCACUUUCAGCGAGGAGGCGUUACUCGCAGAAGAAGCACCGGCUAACUCCGUGCCAGCAGCCGCGGUAAUUC
rnacentral:rRNA from 1 species